rnacentral:rRNA from 1 species
UACGGGGGGGGGUAAGCGUUGUUCGGAAUUACUGGGCGUAAAGGGCUCGUAGGCGGCCAACUAAGUCAGACGUGAAAUCCCUCAGCUUAACUGGGGAACUGCGUCUGAUACUGGAUGGCUUGGAUUUGGGAGAGGGAUGCGGAAUUCCAGGUGUAGCGGUGAAAUGCGUAGAGAUCAGGAGGAACACCUGUGGUGUAGACAGCUUACUGGACGAUAACUGACGCUGAGGCACGAAAGCGUGGGUAGCAAACAGG